AACGAACGCUGGCGGCAGGCCUAACACAUGCAAGUCGAACGCAUCCUUCGGGGUGAGUGGCGCACGGGUGAGUAACACGUGGGAAUGUACCCUUUGGUUCGGAAUAACGUUUGGAAACGAACGCUAAUACCGGAUGAGCCCUACGGGGGAAAGAUUUAUCGCCAAAGGAGCAGCCCGCGUCUGAUUAGCUAGUUGGUGGGGUAAAGGCCUACCAAGGCGACGAUCAGUAGCUGGUCUGAGAGGAUGAUCAGCCACACUGGGACUGAGACACGGCCCAGACUCCUACGGGAGGCAGCAGUGGGGAAUAUUGGACAAUGGGCGCAAGCCUGAUCCAGCCAUGCCGCGUGAGUGAUGAAGGCCUUCGGGUUGUAAAGCUCUUUCGCACGCGACGAUGAUGACGGUAGCGUGAGAGGAAGCCCCGGCUAACUUCGUGCCAGCAGCCGCCGUAA
rnacentral:rRNA from 1 species